rnacentral:rRNA from 1 species
AUAUCAAUAAGCGGAGGAAAAGAAACCAACUGGGAUUCCCCUAGUAACGGCGAGUGAAGCGGGCAACAGCUCAAAUUUUGAAGUCUCACAGGUUCCCUGUGCGAGUUGUAGUUUCGAGAAACGUUUUCGGGGGUGGCUAGCGUCCAAGUCCGCUGGAAUGCGGUGCCGCAGAGGGUGAGAGCCCCGUUGGAUGCAAAGCUCAACACUUCUGUACGAUGCGUUUUCAAAGAGUCGGAUAGUUUGGGAUUGCUGUCCAAAAUGGGUGGUAAAUAUCAUCUAAAGCUAAAUAUUGGCGAGAGACCGAUAGCGCACAAGUA